rnacentral:rRNA from 1 species
CCUACGGGGGGCUGCAGCGGGGAAUAUUGCACAAUGGGCGCAAGCCUGAUGCAGCCAUGCCGCGUGUGUGAAGAGGGCCUUCGGGUUGUAAAGCACUUUCAGCGGGGAGGAAGGCGUUAAGGUUAAUAACCUUGUCGAUUGACGUUACCCGCAGAAGAAGCACCGGCUAACUCCGUGCCAGCAGCCGCGGUAAUACGGAGGGUGCAAGCGUUAAUCGGAAUUACUGGGCGUAAAGCGCACGCAGGCGGUCUGUCAAGUCGGAUGUGAAAUCCCCGGGCUCAACCUGGGAACUGCAUUCGAAACUGGCAGGCUAGAGUCUUGUAGAGGGGGGUAGAAUUCCAGGUGUAGCGGUGAAAUGCGUAGAGAUCUGGAGGAAUACCGGUGGCGAAGGCAGCCCCCUGGACAAAGACUGACGCUCAGGUGCGAAAGCGUGGGGAGCAAACAGGAUUAGAUACCCGUGUAGUC